UACGGAGGAUCCAAGCGUUAUCCGGAUUCAUUGGGUUUAAAGGGUGCGUAGGCGGAAUGAUAAGUCAGUGGUGAAAGCCUGCAGCUUAACUGCAGAACUGCCAUUGAUACUGUCUUUCUUGAAUUCGAUCGAAGUGGGCGGAAUGUGACAUGUAGCGGUGAAAUGCUUAGAUAUGUCACAGAACACCGAUAGCGAAGGCAGCUCACUAGGUCUGGAUUGACGCUCA
rnacentral:rRNA from 1 species